CCCUCUGCAGCUCCCCCGGGGCCUGAGCAAGGCCUACGACGCAGCACGGGACCCGGGCCCAGGGCGUGGGGACCUCACAGAGACGUAGGAGUCUAUUCCCCGGCCGUGUGGGCGCGAUGCAGGUGCGGCUGGAACCAGAACACCUCAGAGCCCAGGUGCCCCGUCCCAGCCAGCAGAGAUCCUCGAGGUGGUCUCCCACGGCCGCCGCCCAGCGGGACGGUGGGACACAGGCGGCCUCUGUGCAGGCCAGUCAGACCCCCGAGGGACACACAGGCACCCCCAGCCCCGUGCCUUCUCAGGGAGGAGGCACAAACUUUCGUAAGCAGCGUCUCCCGCGCGUGACAGGCUUUCUUGCGCGCCCCCCACCAGUGUCUCCUGGGACUCUUGCUUCACCAGGGCUGCUGUGGUAAACAGCACCCUAGUGCGGUGGCCGGCCUGGCCCCUGAGGCUCCCAGGACCGAGGAGAGGCCUGGGCAUCUGGGUCUGUUGCCAGAGAAAGCAGCAGGGAGGCCAGGUGGCCGCUGCCCCGGUUGGCCAGCCCUACCUCAGGGACAGCGUCUGUUCAGAGUGCCCCCUCGUCCCACCCUGCUCAGAGGGCCCCAGGGGACACGGGCAGGGUGCCAGCAACCCAGAGCCUGCCAGCAACAGCCCCCGGUGUGGCUUCUGGAAGGCUGCGAGAGGACCUGGGUCCUGCGAGAGGACCUGGGGCUUCCGGCCACAUCGCCACGAAUGAACCACGCGGCCCCCGAUGCCAGCCUGCCCACACAUGGAGACACAGAGCUCAGCCCGUGACUGCCAUAGAGGCCAUGGCCACAGACACGGGGUCUAGAGCCGGUCUGCUGUUUCCUAGCUGUGUGACCCUUCUAAGGGCUCAGUUUCCUCAUCUGCAAAGUGGGAGAGUCACGGCCACAAUCCCGUAUCUCCAAACCCCCGGGGCCAGCUGUGUUGCAGAGUCUCCCACUUUUUCUGGAGUUUUGUAAGUUUUUCAAGACCCUGGCCGCCCCGCCUAGCCACACGCUGCUAAUAUUUCUGCGGGAAAACGACGAAUCCGCCAACGAGGUGGGACGCGUAAGAACCAUCACCUUGCACCGGGUCGGGUCCCUCCACCACACGAGUGCGGAAAACACGCCUCAGUCUUCAGAGAACUCUGCAUCUCACGGUUGCAGGGACGAGGCCUCAGACCUUGGGUGUCACCCACCUAGGAGCGUGGAAAAGGGAUGUGACAGCACCCGAGGCAGCCACCGUUGACGCAUUUGCUGCGUGCUCCGUCCACGCUGGGCGCCGCGUGACUUGCUCCUCACGACAGCUCUGUGCCACAAGAACUAUUUUAAUACCCAUUUUUCACAGCUGGGGGAUCGAGGCCCAGGACAGAGGAGGAACCCGCUCCCCGUGGUCGGCUGGACCGGGGUCCUGGUGUUCAUAGCCACGCCCGUUGUGCCCGCUUCACAGCUAGGACAGAGGGGGCGGGGGGGGGGUGGCGCUCAGGCCUCUGCCCUCGAUUCUACCGCCUGGCUCGGCUUCAUUGCACAUAGAGAAGACAGCAACAAGGAAGGGGAAAGUGCAAACUGCUUCUCAGCAAGCCCUGGUCGUCCCAGGAGAAUUGCCUCAGUCGUUGGCAUUUCUGUGCCUGUAGAACCCGGACCCAGUUUUUCCGAUCGCUCAGAGUUGGCCGGCAGAGGCUCGGGCUUCCCCUUGGUCAGCAGAACCCGCCGGAGACCCUGCACUUCGUGCCGUCCUCCUGUAGCCCCCCGGCCAGACCAGAGGCCCCGCAGAGCCGGACGCCCUGCCCUUCUGAGUAUGGAGAAGAGCAGAGACACCGCUUGGACCUUCACCACAAUGGAGGCCCCUCACAUCUGCCAAGUCUAAAAUCCCUCCACAAACCUUGAACUUCACGAGGAUCAGGGCACCGGCAGUAACCUUGCUUUCCAUGUGCCCAACCAGAAGGCUGUCCGACUGGUGAGGACACCUCUCAUUCUCCCAUGGGCAGAACGAACACGGCUUUGGUGGCCCAGGAGCUGGUGGAUGACCAGGCGGGGAAAGGCUUCGAGGCUGGCAUUGGUUUGCAGAGGUAACCGGGAGAGCUUUGUCCCCGGGGAAGGCUGCUUCUGCCGAAACGCCCUGGGCAUCCUCUUGAUACGUGACGAGGAGAAAAAAGGGACUAUGCUAAAUAUUUUGGACAGAAGGAGCGAGAUCCCGUCAGGUGCAUGACCCCGGGCGAUAGGCCUCAAAGGGCAGAAACGGCCCCCCUCGCAGAGGGCAGGCUCGUGAAGGCUCACACAUCACCAAAAAAGCCCCUUCGUGGCCCUGCAUUGAUGAACUCGGGCCCAGUUAUCCGUUCAUCGGCAGAAGCCCCCAGCAGCUUGCAGCCCAAGGUAGAAAAUCAGCAUAUGUCCGCUGAGUGAGUUAGGGCAUCUACACUGUGUGGUGCCUCCUCCAGCGGGACCGCAAGUCUACACCCGUCAGUGGGCACCGCCGUCUCGUGACUUUGUAGUGAGCACAGAGUGGGGGUGUCAACUCUGCCCCUGCUCGCCCUUUCUCCUCUUUGUCUCUAUUCCCUUGAGGAAACACAGCGAGCAGGCAGGGCUGCGUUGUGGGAUCCGUAAAGCUUAAGGUUCCUUGGCAGUGCCCGCCUCCUUGCCUGCAUCACCCUCCGCCCCACAACCUUCUGCUCCGUGACCUGAUUUAUGGCUGCUGGUUAACUGAUCACUGGGCCUCAAUUUUCUAGUUUAUUAGCGCUAAGGGGUUUCCUUGGGAGUCUAUUUAGUUUUUAACCUUUCCCAUUAAGAAAUUGGUGCGUGUGUGUGUGUGUGUGUGUGUGUGUGUG